ACGAACGCUGGCGGCAUGCCUAACACAUGCAAGUCGCACGAGACCUUCGGGUCUAGUGGCGCACGGGUGCGUAACGCGUGGGAACCUGCCCUUAGGUUCGGAAUAACUCCCCGAAAGGGGUGCUAAUACCGGAUAAUGUCUUCGGACCAAAGAUUUAUCGCCUUUGGAUGGGCCCGCGUUGGAUUAGCUAGUUGGUAGGGUAAAAGCCUACCAAGGCGACGAUCCAUAGCUGGUCUGAGAGGAUGAUCAGCCACACUGGGACUGAGACACGGCCCAGACUCCUACGGGAGGCAGCAGUGGGGAAUAUUGGACAAUGGGCGAAAGCCUGAUCCAGCAAUGCCGCGUGAGUGAUGAAGGCCUUAGGGUUGUAAAGCUCUUUUACCCGGGAUGAUAAUGACAGUACCGGGAGAAUAAGCCCCGGCUAACUCCGUG
rnacentral:rRNA from 1 species